GAUGAACGCUGGCGGCGUGCCUAAUACAUGCAAGUCGAGCGAACAGACGAGGAGCUUGCUCCUCUGACGUUAGCGGCGGACGGGUGAGUAACACGUGGAUAACCUACCUAUAAGACUGGGAUAACUUCGGGAAACCGGAGCUAAUACCGGAUAAUAUAUUGAACCGCAUGGUUCAAUAGUGAAAGACGGUUUUGCUGUCACUUAUAGAUGGAUCCGCGCCGCAUUAGCUAGUUGGUAAGGUAACGGCUUACCAAGGCAACGAUGCGUAGCCGACCUGAGAGGGGGCUGGGCCACCCGGAAAGUGAGACAGGGCCCAGACCCCUAGGGGGGGACAGAGGGGGAAAUUUUCCAAAGGGGGCGAAACCCUACCGGCCAAACCGCGGGGGAGAAAAAAGGGUUUUGGGACCAAAAACCUCUUUUUUUGGGAAAAAAAAAAUGUGAAAGUACCUAUCCCCGUUUUGGCGGCCCCAAAAAAAAACCCCCGGGCAAACUGCG
rnacentral:rRNA from 1 species